UACAGAGGUGGCAAGCGUUGUUCGGAAUUACUGGGCGUAAAGGGCGCGUAGGCGGUUCGUUAAGUCCUGUGUGAAAGCCCCGGGCUCAACCUGGGAACUGCAAUGGAAACUGGCGGGCUUGAAUGCGGCAGAGGGGGUGGAAUUCCGCGUGUAGCAGUGAAAUGCGUAGAGAUGCGGAGGAACACCGAUGGCGAAGGCAGGCCCUCG
rnacentral:rRNA from 1 species